rnacentral:rRNA from 1 species
CACGUGACUAACCUACCUCCGAGUGGGGAAUAACUCCGGGAAACCGGGGCUAAUACCGCAUAACACUGUGAAGUCAAAGCAGCAAUGCGCUUGGAGAGGGGGUCGGCGGCUGAUUAGCUAGUUGGCGGGGUAACGGGCCCACCCAAGGCGAAGAUCGGUAGUCCGGCCUGAGAGGGCGGCACGGACACACUGGAACUGAAACAACGGUCCAGACUCCUACGGGAGGGCAGCAGUGGGGAAGUUUUGUCGCAAUGGGGGAAACCCGUGACGCAGCAACGCCGCGUGGAGGAUGAAGCCCCU